UACAGAGGUCUCAAGCGUUGUCCGGAUUUAUUGGGCGUAAAGCGCUCGCAGGCGGUUUCUUAAGUCUGAUGUGAAAGCCCACGGCUCAACCGUGGAGGGUCAUUGGAAACUGGGAGACUUGAGUGCAGAAGAGGAGAGUGGAAUUCCACGUGUAGCGGUGAAAUGCGUAGAGAUGUGGAGGAACACCAGUGGCGAAGGCGACUCUCUGGUCUGUAACUGACGCUGAGGAGCGAAAGCGUGGGGAGCAAAACAGG
rnacentral:rRNA from 1 species